ACUCAAAUGAAUUGACGGGGGCCCGCACAAGCGGUGGAGCAUGUGGUUUAAUUCGAUGCAACGCGAAGAACCUUACCUACCCUUGACAUACAGUGGAACUUGCAGAGAUGUGAGUGUGCCUUCGGGAACACUGAUACAGGUGCUGCAUGGCUGUCGUCAGCUCGUGUCGUGAGAUGUUGGGUUAAGUCCCGUAACGAGCGCAACCCUUAUUCCUAGUUACCAGCACGUUAAGGUGGGGACUCUAGGGAGACUGCCGGUGACAAACCGGAGGAAGGCGGGGAUGACGUCAAGUCAUCAUGGCCCUUACGGGUAGGGCUACACACGUGCUACAAUGGCCGGUACAGACGGAAGCGAAGGGGUGACCUGGAGCGAAUCCUAAAAAGCCGGUCGUAGUCCGGAUUGAAGUCUGCAACUCGACUUCAUGAAGUCGGAAUCGCUAGUAAUCGCGAAUCAGCAUGUCGCGGUGAAUACGUUCCCGGGCCUUGUACACACCGCCCGU
rnacentral:rRNA from 1 species